UCAAGAAUUUUAAAAGCAAACCAAAAUGCAAUCUGCACGAAUUCUUGCUCUAGAGUAGUUGCAAAGACAAAAACUUCGAGAGGCAAGAAUGCAGAGGAGAAUCCUUAGAAGCUCCUCCGAUUUUCUUUCGCAAACAGAUGGAACGUUUCGAUACAAUUUUCGUCUUGAUAAACAACAUUAAAGCGGUCGCCCCGAGUAAAUCCUUUGGAAAUGUCGAUAUUUUCGCGAAUGAAUCGCAAGAAUAUGGCGGCAGCUUGUGCUGCUGACCCUGAAAAUAAGCAACGUUUAUUAGCUUUUUGCAAAGAAAUAAUAGAAAUAAUUCGUUAACACAACAUUUCGAUAAGUUCUCCGAAAAUUGAUAUUUUAAAGUUCGAGUAAAUUGGUAUCACUGUCAGGCUGGACGGUUUGCAGACGGUUUUUUUAGCUAAUUUUUUCAAGAUGGCUUAUAAAAUGCUUAUUUUUAAAUAUAACCCGAUGUAUAUAUAAAAAUUGUAGUA